GCUGCUUAGCAGUUUGGGAUUACCUUUCAAAAUUGUUUUUUUGUAGCACCUACAAUUGUUUGAGAGUGGAAAAAAAAUCAAAGUUUGCUUUUUUUUUGUUGGCAUAUGAUAGAAAAAUUUAUUCGUACAUGUUCAUGGAAUAGAACUUGGUCCAUCGACUGUGGGGAGUAAAUGACUGCAGUUAAUUUCUAUUAACAUGAUUUGAACUUAUUUAAAAAAAGAAAAAGAUUUAAAAGACAGUGGAGAUUAUAUUGUAUUGUGAAUAGAAUCUAAGGAAAUUAGAUAAAGGAAGACUUCCCCUAUCCUCGCUCCCUCCUCCUCCCCCCCCCCCCCCCCCCCCCAACAAUUUGUGGCUGGAUUGAACCUGAUUCCAGAUUUCUGGACUUCCUAUGUUUGGAAAAGCGUGAAAGCUAUUUCUGAACUGAUCUUACCGUGGGGGAGGCAAGGGUUGCUAGAAAAGAAAGAAAGCAAAAAUGUUUGAGCUUUUCUCCCUUGUUUUACCAGCAGAAAUAUAAGUAGUUCAGAUAAAGCAGGCAUAUCUGUGUCAACAGGCAAAGUUUUACGUAUUCCACAACACAUAACACAUAGGUUUAAAUAUGCUUCUUUAAAAUCAUUGAAGAGUAAAAGAUGCUAUUGUAAAGCAUGAAUACAAAUCAGUGAGGUAACAUAGGCCUGCAGACUUCUCAUCCUUUGGUUAGUGCUAGCAAAACUGGAGUGUGCUUUUUACAAAUAUAUUCAACAGCAUAAUAGCCUGUGCAAAUGUAAUUUGAGAGACUGCUUACCUGGAGUCCGUAUACUUUCACUCUUUCUCCUAAGAUAAUUAUUAAUAAUUGUUAAUUGAGUAUUGUCCACAUAAUCUACAAGUAAAGGUACAGCUUUAUCCCAGAAUUGUUAUUAUUGGCACCCCACCCACCAGCUCAUUGGCACCACAUUCAUCCUGCUAACACAUCCACAUCUCCACCAUUUUUCCUGCUUCCUAAUGGUUGGCAUUAAUUAAUGUCAACCUAUUUGCAGGGGCUGGAAGCUUCAGUGGUUCAGCGAGAGAUUGUUGUCUGUGGGAGUGAAGGCUGAGGCUGCUGGAAAUGGGGAUGAGCGCGUUUUGUGUUGGCCAGACUGGGCUCUGAAUUUUAAUCUAAGUGCAGACAGUCUCGCAAAAACAAUAGAAGGUGCUGUUUGUGGACUGAAAGUGUUUUCUACUAACCAAGAUAAAAAGAAUCAUGUACCUGCCAGGCUUUCUGAGUUGGUGACAGACAGCACAUGUUUGAAAGAGGAUUAUGGCAAGAUAAAUGGAGACAAGUGAGGAGGGAGAGCAAUGUGAGACAUCACCUCUGUAGCAGUGAGUACAUUUCUGCAUUGAGGAGGCUUGGUUAGAAAGUAGUUGCACUGACAACCUCUAAUCUGUUCUGUCAGAAAACACACUGUGUACCUGAAUUUUUCAGUGAGAUAAAGGAAAUAGUGUGAAAAAGCACCAUAGCUCUUGGUGGUUCUGUGGUGUUUUUUGCUUGUUUGUUUUUGGUUUUGUUUUCAGAAAACAAUGCAUUCUUAUUAGUGGCUCACUAGCAAUCAGUAUUUGGACCUAAGAGUUAACUUGUUGUCCCUUGUUUGUCUGAUCAGAUUGGACACUUAAGGUAGAGGCAAGGUUUUUCUAGGUGUGUGCGGUAUAGAAUGAAAUAAUCC
ensembl:lncRNA